UAAAUUGCCUUGAUUGUAUUGAGGAAUGUCCCUUCUACACCCAAUUAAACAACAAAAAUUUCAAUAUAUGGGGUUGACUCUACAGAGGUAAUCCAAAACAAACUAUAAACUGACAAGAGAAUUAAGUGAUAUUAGUGAGUAUAAGAUCACUAUAUAUCAAGUGGCUUUCCAUGUAGCAGCAGGAAAAAAUAGAAAACCAUUUUAAAGGACAAAAUACAGACUAGAAAACUUCUAUAGAGUAUCUUUAAAUAUUUUUCAAAUCAUUAAAAAAGCAAAAUGACCUAAAACAAAAUUAAGUCAAAAAAAUGAAGAAAAUGAAAAGCUCAGAAUUCAUUAAAUUUUGAGUAAAUUUCAUCUCUUGUAAAGGAGUUUAUUGGAAGCUCCAGGUCAUAAGAUCCCAGCAGAAUCACAGACAUUGGAGGGUGGGAGAGAUCCCCACUCUCAUGUGGUUGAGUCAUCAUGAAGGUGACAGCAGCCCCUGCUCUUAGGAGAGCGAGGCCCAAGGAGGGUGAGCACCUCCAGACCUGAGCCCAAUACUCAACCCUCACUACCCCCACCAGCCACAGCCUGGAUGAAUGGCACCCCUUCUCCCCAACUGUCACAGAAAUCUAGUAGGUGUGACUCUGAUUAGCUGCAUCUUCUCUGACAUGAUGCCUUCUCAUUGGCUCAGCAAGUUGUUCAAUUAGACACACUGGAUCAACAAUGAAGAGCAACAUGAGGUCUUUUUCUUCAUGCUGCUAAAUACAGCUUCUCCAGUCUGCUGCUUAUAGUGGUUCCACGAGGCUCAUUCUUUGUCACCUGUGAAGUUCUCUCACUACAAAAACCAUCAGAAGGAUGCCUGGAAUCUGGAAUAUGGCAGAGACACAGAUACAGUGCUUUCAUGUGCUGAUUCCUCCAAGGCUCACAACUGAGUCUGGGCUAAAACAAAACCAGGAGCUGUGGGGCAGGGAUUGUGCUGCAUCAGUUUAAGCUGCUGAUUGGGAUGCUCACAUCAAAUACCAGGAUAAGAUUCUAGAGACAUCUACAUGUGGCCAAGACCGACAAAAAUAAAUAUAUUUCUGGUAGGUUAUUUAUUCCUCA
rnacentral:lncRNA from 1 species